rnacentral:rRNA from 1 species
GCGCCAGACUCCUACGGGAGGCAGCAGUGGGGAAUAUUGGUCAACGGCCGGAAGGCUGAACCAGCCAAGCCGCGUGAAGGACGAAGGUGCCAAGCAUUGUAAACUUCUUUUGUCAAGGGACAAAAUCAGGCUCGAGAGCCUGACCGAGAGUACCCGAAGAAAAAGCAUCGGCUAACUCCGUGCCAGCAGCCGCGGUAAUACGGAGGAUGCGAGCGUUAUCCGGAUUUAUUGGGUUUAAAGGGUGCGUAGGCGGAAGGUUAAGUCAGCGGUCAAAUGUCGGUGCUCAACACCGGCCUGCCGUUGAAACUGGUCUUCUUGAGUGAGCGAGAAGUAUGCGGAAUGCGUGGUGUAGCGGUGAAAUGCAUAGAUAUCACGCAGAACUCCGAUUGCGAAGGCAGCAUACCGGCGCUCAACUGACGCUGAGGCACGAAAGCGUGGGGAUCGAACAGGAUUAGAUACCCGAGUA